GAUAAAAUGGCUGAGAAUUAGGCAAUAAAUUGUAAAUUUAUGUACGAAAAAGAAAUUUUCUUUUAUCA
rnacentral:tRNA from 1 species